AUGAACGCUGGCGGCGUGCCUAAUACAUGCAAGUUGAGCGAACAGACGAGGAGCUUGCUCCUCUGACGUUAGCGGCGGACGGGUGAGUAACACGUGGAUAACCUACCUAUAAGACUGGGAUAACUUCGGGAAACCGGAGCUAAUACCGGAUAAUAUAUUGAACCGCAUGGUUCAAUAGUGAAAGACGGUUUUGCUGUCACUUAUAGAUGGAUCCGCGCCGCAUUAGCUAGUUGGUAAGGUAACGGCUUACCAAGGCAACGAUGCGUAGCCGAGCUGAGAGGGUGGUCGGCCACACUGGAACUGAGGAACGGUCCAGACUCCUACGGGAAGCAGCAGUAGGGAAUCUUCCGCAAUGGGCGAAAGCCUGAAGGAGCAAAGCCGCGUGAGUGAUGAAGGUCUUCGGAUCGUGAAACUCUGUUAUUAGGGGAGAACAAAUGUGUAAGUAACUAUGCACGUCUUGACGGUACCUAGUCAGAAAGCCACGGCUAACUACGUG
rnacentral:rRNA from 1 species